GUUUCUUAAUGUUGGUUUGCUCUUAUCGUGCAUGUAGAUAUGAACAAGAGCAGUUUGACAAGCAAGUUCUCCUUAUUCUAAUUAGAUAAACUCCACCUGAUAUAUUGGCAUCUUCUUCCCUCUUAUUUUGACUGCCGUUUGACACUUAUCCUCUUUCAGUUUAACAGGUGAUGGAACAGAGAAAACAGCAUCUUCAUCAAAGGUGGUUCAUGCCCAGAAAAUUGAACAACCGUUUCUAGCUAAAUGAAUAUGUUAUCACUGCACACCCUCAGAUAAAAUUGAGUUUCUCUGCACAGCCAAAAAGACUGGUGUUCAGCCAUAUAACGUUUGGUGUUAUAUUGGAUGCUCCAAAUGUUCAAAGAAACUACUGUGCGAGAUAUCUUCAUUCACAUGUAUGUUUUGUGAAAAGACCGAUGCUGAGGGUUGUCUGAGGUACCGUGUGGAACUGUCGUUGUCAUACCACGCAAAUAUUGUAUCAGGUCAAGUAACAGCUAGGGACAGCGCUCCAGUUUUUAAAAAUAACGGCCAAAUCAACUGACUGGAGACAAAUCUUAAAAGGACAGCAACAUUGCUAGGAAUAGCUAUCAAAAAGGUCGACACAAAAUACAUAGAUUGCUUUGUUUUUGAAUUAAUAUCUAAAGAGAAAGAGGUUCAUCCUCCCACGUUUCUUAAAACAACAAGAACAAAUUCGUUUAGUACACAUCUUGGUUCAUAGAGUCAAAGCUUUGGUACAUGAAUUUC